UUCGGGGUUAGUGGCGGACGGGUGAGUACACGUGGGAACGUGCCUUUAGGUUCGGAAUAACUCAGGGAAACUUGUGCUAAUACCGAAUGUGCCCUUCGGGGGAAAGAUUUAUCGCCUUUAGAGCGGCCCGCGUCUGAUUAGCUAGUUGGUUGAGGUAAUGGCUCACCAAGGCGACGAUCAGUAGCUGGUCUGAGAGGAUGAUCAGCCACAUUGGGACUGAGACACGGCCCAAACUCCUACGGGAGGCAGCAGUGGGGAAUCUUGCGCAAUGGGCGAAAGCCUGACGCAGCCAUGCCGCGUGAAUGAUGAAGGUCUUAGGAUUGUAAAAUUCUUUCACCGGGGACGAUAAUGACGGUACCCGGAGAAGAAGCCCCGGCUAACUUCGUGCCAGCAGCCGCGGUAAUACGAAGGGGGCUAGCGUUGCUCGGAAUUACUGGGCGUAAAGGGAGCGUAGGCGGACAUUUAAGUCAGGGGUGAAAUCCCGGGGCUCAACCUCGGAAUUGCCUUUGAUACUGGGUGUCUUGAGUAUGAGAGAGGUGUGUGGAACUCCGAGUGUAGAGGUGAAAUUCGUAGAUAUUCGGAAGAACACCAGUGGCGAAGGCGACACACUGGCUCAUUACUGACGCUGAGGCUCGAAAGCGUGGGGAGCAAACAGGAUUAGAUACCCUGGUAGUCCACGCCGUAAACGAUGAUUGCUAGUUGUCGGGAUGCAUGCAUUUCGGUGACGCAGCUAACGCAUUAAGCAAUCCGCCUGGGGAGUACGGUCGCAAGAUUAAAACUCAAAGGAAUUGACGGGGGCCCGCACAAGCGGUGGAGCAUGUGGUUUAAUUCGAAG
rnacentral:rRNA from 1 species